CCAAGAGAAAAACUGACUGUUGUAUUUGAAAAUAUGAGAUAGCGUAAAAAAUAAUACACGAGCUCGGGCCCUAUUUAUAGAUUUACAAGCGGAGGGGUAAAAUAGUAAAAACAUCUUCGGUGCAUGCUUCCUGCGUGGUGGAAGGGUACGUUGGUAAUUUCGAUAAUACGCGGGAGACCUUCCCGCGCGUUUAUUGGCUCCUCUGAUGGAAGUGUCUUCUCUGGCGAAGGCGUCUUCUCUGGUGAUAUUGACAUCUCUGGCAUGAAGAACUUCCCUGGUAAACACGUCUUCUCUGGCAAGGGCGUCUCCUCUGGCGGUAAUGACUUCCCUGAUGGAGUUUGACUUUUCUGGCGCGGAUGAUUUCUCUGGAGGAGAGGGCUCCUCUGUCAAGAAUGACUUCUCUGGUGCGGAUGAUUUCUCUGGAGGAGAGGGCUCCUCUGUCAAGAAUGACUUCUCUGGUGCGGAUGACUCAUCUGGCUAGAGUCAUUCCUCUGAUGGAUGAAAUCCUUCUGGUAUAAAUGGUUCUUCUGACCCAUACGGCUCCUCUGAUGAGAGUGGUUCCUCUGAUUUGUACUCUCUCCCUACUCUGCAUAUAUUGCUCCUCACCA
rnacentral:lncRNA from 1 species